rnacentral:misc_RNA from 1 species
GAAAUGCGAUAAGUAAUGUGAAUUGCAGAAUUCAGUGAAUCAUCGAAUCUUUGAACGCACAUUGCGCCCGCCAGUAUUCUGGCGGGCAUGCCUGUUCGAGCGUCAUUUCAACCAUCAAGCCCCCGGGCUUGUGUUGGGGACCUGCGGCUGCCCGCAGGCCCUGAAAACCAGUGGCGGGCUCGCUGUCACACCGAGCGUAGUAGCAAUCACCUCGCUCAGGGCGUGCUGCGGGUUCCGGCCGUUAAAAAGCCUUACAAACCCAAGGUUGACCUCGGAUCAGGUAGGAAGACCCGCUGAACUUAAGC